rnacentral:rRNA from 1 species
GAUGAACGCUGGCGGCGUGCCUAAUACAUGCAAGUCGAGCGAACAGACGAGGAGCUUGCUCCUCUGUCGUUUGCGGCGGACGGGUGAGUAACACGUGGAUAACCUACCUAUCAGACUGGGAUAACUUCGGGAAUGCGUAUCUAAUUCCAUAUAAUCUAUUUACCCGUAUGGUUCGAUAGUAAAAUACUGGUUUUCUGUUGCUUAUACGUGGUUUCGCGCUGCAUUAGCUAGUUUGUAAGGUAAAGGCUUAGCAAGGCAACGAUGCGUAGCCGACCUGAGAGAGUGAUAGGCCACACUGGAACUGAGACACGGUCCAGACUCCUAAGGGAGGGAGCAGUAGGGAAUCGGACGCAAUGGGGGAAAGCAUGACGGAGCAAGGCCGAGUGAGUGAUGAAGGUCUUCGGAGAGGAAAAAUCGGUUAUGAGGGAAGAACAAAUGUGUAAGUAAAUAUGCACGAAUUGACGGUACCUAAACAGAAAGCCCCGGCUAACUACGUG